UCUCCCAAAUGCUAUCUGGCCUGCAAUAGGAGGAUAGUCUGGGUUUAUGGAGUUAACAUCCUACCAGCCCACAACCUCACUAGCUUGCCACAUGUCUCUCUGAGGAAGUGACUAAUGUCAAACCACCUUUACAGCAGAUAAGGAUUCUCACAGAGAAAGAGGUGAGUCUCAGCAGGGCAGCCCAGGAAAGCACCAGCCUACUGCAAACUCACCCUCAGUGAAGCCAUGCUUUGGAGAUGUCCAGUCCUCUGCAUGUUUCUCUUCAGUAUGGGGACAUCUUUGGAUGUAAUUUUGGAACCAGUUGCCAAAACUUUUACUGUCAUAGCUGGGAAUCCUGCCACCUUCUACUGCACUGUAACAGGAGGGGACUUGAAGAAUUAUCAAAUGAGCUGGUACAAGAAGAGUGAAAAUAAUGCUUUGUUUUUAGUAUACAAGCUAAAUAACAAUUCUACUGAUGAUCCAAUGGGCAACUUCAAAGGGAAAAUUAACAUUUCAAAAAGUCAGUUUAUACUUGACAUUCAAAAGGCAACAAUGAAAGAUGCUGGGGUCUACUACUGUGGGUCAGAUAUCCACGGUGCUACAGUACUGCUUCUGAUCCCUUCAAGAAAGGCUAGGGUCAAAGGAAGGUGGCAGACCCAAUGAGAGACCAUCUCAGGCUGAGCUUCACAGAACAUCUGAGAUGAGACCUCCUGAUUACCUUAACAGUCACCUCCGAUAAGAAAGGCUAGAACUGAGUUGGGGCAAGACCCACCCUUUGAAGUUUCUAUAUCAGUUGAGGAGAGAAGACAAGGUUGUGUGGAGAGACCAACAACACCUCAACCUUCUCAACCCAUGGGGCCCUCAUAUUAAAACAAUGAACAGAUGAGCAGAACGUCUUCCAUCGUGAGGGUUGUAACUCACUGCAAUCUUUAUGGUGGAAGCUUCUUGUGCAGAAGCUAGACAAAAUGAAGAUGGUUUUCUAUUAGCAUUUUAAUCAAAGUUUCCAAGCUAUUAGCAAUGGUUUUAACUCUUACUCUGAAGACUGGGGAGAGACGUUGUCUGAAAUGUUUUCAUGACUGAGUCAGGUUAAAGGCUUCAUAUCUUAGCUAGAAAGGAGUCCUGAGGCCCCGCGGGCAUAGGCAGAAAAGGGUAAUACACAGGUUUCCUUCACACUGGUUAUGAGAAGGAUCUUGUAAACAAGUAAUAGACCUGGUAAUAUGGGCUGGGUUGACCAUGAAUCAAGUGAAUAAGAUACUUGGAUUAGCACCUAAGAAGGACUGAGUCCACAGAGCGUAAGGUCUGAAAGAACCCAGGAAACAGACUGGAGGGAAGAUGCACCUUUAAAGAUGCCACUAUUCGGGAAUGUAUUCUAGCAGCCAGCGUUUCUUCUGCUCAGAUAGCUCUUUGGAUUCUUCUCCUCACACAAAGCUGACUUUAGCAUAUGUAGCAGAAAUGUAGUAGAAACUAAAAGUCAGAUCCUGAGGUGGCUUCCAGUCAACUCUCCUUCUACUGUCACCUUUACCACACACUAUUUAAAGCCACUGAUGUCAUUCCUGGUAUUAAGAUAAGUCAUGAGAAUAAAAAAAGGGGGCAGGGAUUUUUAUCAAUGCGCUUACAGUUUUUCUUUAGAAAGCCUAUUUUCAGCAAUUAUAAUUAAAGAUUACGAAGUGGGAAGGGGGAAAUAAUUAAAGAUUGCCAGAGUACAAAAAUGCAAGGAAUAAAUAUGAAUAAAUAAUGAUAUGUGUGAUAAUGUCA